GCGGUGGGGGAGGGGAGGGGAGGUUGAAGGGUCGGCGCCGGAUCUCGUGCGCAUGCGCUCCUCCUUCUCCCGCCCACAGUCCUUGCCAACGAGCCGGUGCCCUAUCAAGCUGGGUUCCCUGAGUGAGCAGGACAGCCCCCUGGCCCAGCUACACCGCCUGGCCAUUGCUGGGGGACCCUGCUGGCGGCUGGCCCGACUUCUCAAAAAAGGGGUACAGGUGGAUGGAGAAAACUCCUCGGGUCAGACCAGCCUCUUCCUGUCAGCAUUGCUGGGCCGGGCCGCUUUUGUCAAACUUCUUCUCCGCUUUGGAGCAGACCCCAACCACCGAUGCUUGGAUGGAAGUACCCCAGUCCACGCAGGAGCUUUCUCUGGCCACUGCCAGGUCAUGCUCUGGCUGCUGGAGGCUGGAGGAGACCUGAGGCUGCAUGACCAGCAGGGCUGGACGGCGGAGGACUGGGCCCAGCAGGCUGGAGCAGAGAGCUGGGAAGUCUUGGAGCUGCUUCGAGAAUGCCGAGCCAGAAUGGCGCUGCUGGCCCAGGGGGGUGAGACUGCACUGGCUUCGUCCUUGGGGGAGCUGUGGGGGUUCCGGGCUGGAUCCCUGGGAAGCCAACACCCGACCCUGCCUUCCCAGCUCCUGCCUCAGGCUGAAGGGUCCCUGUGGCCCCAGCACGUCCAGAGGUCUCCCCAGGUCCCAGGACUGGGCUUUGGCCAGCUGAGCAGUCUGAGGCCUCUGGGGCUGACCUCUGGGGUGCCCCUGGUUGAUCCUGAGGAGCUGCUGCCCGCGCAGGGGGAGCCUGAUCGGACCUAUGAGUGCGGCACCCACACCAUCAUGGUCAACCUCCUGUGGAGGGGACACCCAGUGACUGUUCGGAAACUGAAGCCGCCCCCGGCCCCGGCGCUCGCAGACCUGCUCUUGUCCGACCUGAAGCACUGCAGCCUCCUUCACCAUCCAAACUUGCUGCUGCUCAUGGCCCUGAGCCCCUCCCCCGACCUCUCUGGCCUCUGCCUCCUGUUUGAGCCCAUCCAGGAGGGCUCCCUGCACCUAGUGCUGCACCCCCCAGGGCAGGACGCGGCCUGCCCCAGGAUCCCCCCCGGCUUCUCCCCGGGGCAGCUGCUGCUGCAGGUGCUGGAGGCCCUGCUCUACCUCCAAGGCCAGGCCCGGGCCCACGGCGGCCUCAGCUCCCACGCCGUCCAGCUGGUCCGGCCGGGGCUGGCCAAAGUCAGCAACCUGGAGCACGGGCGAGCCCUGCCCCGGCCCCAGCCGGAGAGAGCGUUCCCCUGGGGGGGCCCGAGCCCGGGGCCCCCUCCGCCCGCCGAGCUGUACCCCUGGUUGCCGCUGGAGCUGAUUCGCGGCGAGGCCCCCGCCCUGACUUCGGACUUCUACAGCUUCUGUAUCCUGGCCCAGGAGGUCUUCACUGGAAACCUGCCCUGGGCCGGACAGGAAGGGCUGCAGGUCAAGGCGAAGCUGGAGUCCGGGGAGGGGCCGCCUCUGGAGGCCCAGGUGCCCCCGGCCUACCAGUCCCUGGUCAAGGCCGGCCUGGGGCUGUGGGCUCGAGACCGCAAGGGCAGCCUGCAGGAUGCCCGCUACAAGCUGAGGGUGGCCUUGGCUCAGGAGUCCACGCUCAAGGAAGCUUCUCUGGGGACCGUGGGCAGCCCUUCCUCGGAGACCAAGAGCCUGGCGCCGCCGCCGGCUAAGGAGGGGCCCGUGGGCAGGGGGUGCGACCCCCCCCCGGGCUGUCGGCAUCUGCCUGGCCCCCCGCGCACGGAGAAGCUCUCGGAGGUGCAUCCCAAGGUCACCAGCACCCCCAGGCCUCUGUCCCCCAAGAUGGUCCCCAGCCCCAAGCCAUCGGAGGCCCUGAAGUCCCCAGGGAGCAGUGGGGCCUGGGAGAACACCUGGAGCUCCCCAGCCCUGGACUCGGGCAGCAGCCUGACCCUGGGCAGCAGCCUGAGCCUCACGUCCCAGCCCGAGGAAGAGUCGUCGGCGGAGGGCAGGAAGCCCGCCUGUCCUGAGAAGCCGUCGCUGCUGACCAGUCUCCGAGAGUCGGCCUGCCUGCUGGGCCAGGCCCAGGGCUCCCUGGAGAGGCUGGAGAGAAGGUUCUCGGCCAGGAUUCGGACCCUGCAGGAGCUGCUGGGAGACAACCCCGAGGCCCCAGCCUCCCAGUCCGCCGGCCCCCAGAUGAUUGAGGACCUUCCCCUUGUCCCCAGGUGGCCCCAGUCUUCAGGAGUGCAUAGACCUUGCGGCCCGGGCCCGAAGCCUGGACAGACAGGAGGGUCAGACCCAGGUGCAGGUCCCUGAGCUAGCCAAGGGAGGCCCCUUCACCAGCCUGCAGAAGCUAGACCUGCUGGAAGAGAUCAUCACAGAACUACAGGGGCCCCCCAAGCCAAGGAGCUGAGAGUGGAAGAUGCAGAACCCAGUCGGUGUCAGCUCUGACCCAACCCAAUAAAGCUUCCCCAGCCAGCUUCUUCCUGUCUCACUAUGAACACAUGCCACACUCA